GACCACCGCCUAAACAUGCCGAGUCUCCUGCUGCUUCUCCUGGGACUAGGCUCUGCGUUCGGUGUCCUCGUCUCUCAAAAGCCAAGCAGGCAUAUCUGUCAACACGGGACCCCAGUGACGAUCCAAUGUCAGGUCGAUACCCAAGUCAAUAGAAUGUUCUGGUAUCACCAGCCUCCAGGACAGAGCUUGAUACUGAUUGCAACUGCGAACCAGGGCUCAGAGGCCACAUACGAGAGCGGGUUUACCAAGGACAAGUUUGCUAUCAACCACCCAGACUUCACCUUCUCCACCCUCACUGUGAAAAACAGCAGCCCUGAGGACAGCAGCGUCUAUCUGUGCAGCGCUGGGGCACAGUGCUGGGCAAGGACCUGAGGGCUGAGCAAUAACCCCGCCCCCCCCACCUAGUCCACCAGACAAGCCCACAGACGCCAGUGAAGCUGAUGCCGCUGUCUGUGUGCCUGUGGGUGGGAGCGGGUGUGGGUUGAGUGAGUUUGGGUGUGGGUUGGUUGGGGAGAGUAGUGAAGUGGGGCUGGAAGAACACAGAGCACUAGAGAUGGGUUCCAGCCACAGACAGGAAGAGAGUGCCCGGAAGGCCAAGAGUCAAACUUCUUCUGGAAGAAUGUGUAGAAAUUCUUCAGCGAGUCAAGAACAGCUGUUGUUGGCCUAAUGCACAAGUUUUGUGAAGUUGAAAUCAAAUGUAACACAAGCUGUAUUAGCUAUUCAAAAUACAGCUUUUUUAAGGGCCGCAUAAACCAGAGACUGCAACAGCCUGAGACCAGAAGAAGUAGAUGGUGCCCGGCUACCACCACUGA